rnacentral:rRNA from 1 species
UGCGAAGGUAGCGUAAUCACUUGUUCUUUAAAUGAGGACUAGUAUGAACGGCACCACGAAGGUUAUACUGUCUCCUUUCUCCAAUCAGUAAAACUAAUCUCCCCGUGAAGAAGCGAGGAUAAAUUUAUAAGACGAGAAGACCCUAUGGAGCUUUAAACUAACCAGCAUUUGCUAUAUACAAAUUUUAACUUUAGACAAUCUAGCCCUCUGACUGGUAAUUUUCGAUUGGGGUGAUCACGGAACAAAAAAUAACCUCCGUGUCGAAAGGAUAAACCUGAGCAAAAAGCGACAGCUUUCCGCACUAAAAAAUUAACGUUCAUUGACCCAAUAUUUUGAUCAACGAACCAAGUUACCCUAGGGAUAACAGCGCAAUCUACUUCAAGAGUCCCUAUCGACAAGUAGGUUUACGACCUCGAUGUUGGAUCAGGGUACCCCAGUGGUGCAGCCGCUACUAAAGGUUCGUUUGUUCAACGAUUAAUACCC